CUCUCUAACUUUUGGUGCAGCAACAAGAAUGAGAGCGGUUAUGCCUUGGUGGAGUUGAAGCAAUGGUUUUCUCAUCUGAUAUUCAACAUGGUCCUUCAAAUGAUUACAGGGAAGCGAUAUUUUAGUGCAGCAACUGUGGAUGAUGAGAAGGCACAGAGAUUUGUGAGGGCUGUGGAGGAGUUCAUGCGCCUGUUCGGGGUGUUCACAGUGGGAGAUGCUGUUCCAUGGUUGAGAUGGUUUGAUUUUGGAGGGCAUGAGAAGGCAAUGAAAGAAACUGCAAAAGAGUUGGAUAUUAUUCUUGGUGAGGAGUUAGAGGAACACAGAAAAAGGAAGGGUUUGGGUGAGAAGGAUGAUGAAGUUCAAGAUUUCAUGGAUGUGAUGAUUUCAUUGUUUGAUGGAAUAACUAUUGAUGGGUUCGAUGCAGAUACCGUCAUCAAAUCCACUGUACUGGUAUGGAUCUUUAUUGCAUCUUAUUUUUUUUAUUAAAUCACAUUAUAACUUUAAAUUUUAUUGUACAAAAAUUAAGGUAUUAAAACCAAAACCAUUUAUGAAUUUGAGAAAGAUAAACAAAUAAUAUUAAAUAUUAAAUAACCAAAAUGUUGUGAAGAUGUUAUGAAUUAGGGAUUUAGUGUAAUUUUUUCUUGUAUCUCUAUCACUUUCUUCUUAGAUUUCAUACUUUGAAAAAUACUCAAAUUAUCUUUUAAUAUUUUUUAUUAAAUAUUUUUUCUUUAAUUUCGGAAUAUGCACGUUAACUUCCUGAUUUAUAAAAUUUAGAAGUUAAAAUUUGUGUUUGGGAUUUUACAAUAUUUCUGAUUGUACAAUUCAAAAUUUCAGAUUGUAUAAUUCAAAAUACAAUUUUUUAUAUCAAAUUAUAGAAUUUAAAAUGAAUAAUUUUAGAAUUUUUUACGAAUAUAAGACUGCAAGAUAAAUUAUGAGAUGAAGAAAUAAACUUUUAAAUUUUUAAAAAUGAGGAUUAUGGGGAUAGAUCACCUGUCUCACACUUGGCUUAUGCGGGUUAGGCGAAAUGAUUUAAAUUCUAAAUUUGGUAGCAAAAACUUUGUAGCUAAUUAGAUACAAAUUUAGAAAAUAUUUAACAAUAAUAGAAACUAAUUUAGAAACCAAAAAUUUGUUUAGUCUCUAAAAUGGUCUCUAAUUUAGUCAAUAUAGUAAUUAAUUAUUUUUUGUCUAUAAAAUUAGUUUCUAUUUAAUGAUUUUCUUGUACUGAUGAUUUGUUUAUGUUAUAGAAGAACUUGUGAAUAAGAUCAUAUCCUUAUUUUGUAGUUAGUGAUUGCAGGAGGAACUGACACAAGUAGUACUCUUCUUACGUGGGUAAUAUCUUUGAUUUUGAGAAAUCCUUUGGUAUUGGAAAAAGUAAAAGUUGAACUAGACAUUCAUGUUGGAAAAGAGAAAUGUGUAAGUGAGUCUCAUAUAAGCAAGUUAACAUAUCUUCAAGCCAUAGUCAAGGAAACAUUAAGAUUGUAUCCUCCUGGUCCUCUUUUGGCACCUCAUGAAAUUAUAGAGGACUGCAUUUUAAGUGGUUAUAAUAUAAAAAAAGGAACUCGUCUAAUCACAAAUCUUUGGAAGAUUCACACAGACAAGAAUGUUUGGGAAGAUCCAUUGGAGUUCAAACCUGAAAGGUUUCUUACAACUUACAAAGAUCUCGAUGUCAAAGGUCAUCAUUUUGAGCUAAUACCAUUUGGAGGUGGUAGAAGAAUGUGUCCAGGAAUAUCCUUUGGCCUUGAAGUAGUGCAAUUCUCUCUUGCUAGUAUUUUGCACUCUUUUGAAUUUUUAAGUUCAUCACCUGAUCCUAUUGACAUGACCGAAACCUUUGGAUUAACCAACACCAAAGGCACUCCACUUGAGAUUCUUAUUAAACCACGUCUAUCUUUUAGUUGUAACGAAAACAACUAAUCCAUGUGCUAGCUAUGCUGUCACAAUUUGUUUUCAUUUAAAGUACUUUUUUUCUAUAAUAUUGUUCAAAGUCUUUGUUAUCUUUGUAUUUUCAUUCAAAGUGCUUGAUAUAUUUGUACUUUCCUUCAAAGUACUUGAUAUAUUUAUAGUUUAUCUUGGUAAACUUUGAAACUCUUUCAAAUAUAUAUUAUUUUUAGUAGACUUUCUUUAUUGAGUCAGGUUAGAGAGUUGGACCGUAUUUAGAGAUUCAUUGCUUAAUUCUUAAUCGCGGAUUGAAGUGAUUAAUCCUAUUUGAACGUAAUUGUAUUUAUGUUGUCGAUCAGUUCAUUAAUGUGGAUUACGAUCUCGAUCGGUCACUGAUAAGUCUCGAGAGAUUACAUUAGUCGAUACAAUUAAUGAAUUGCUUAAUUGGUUAACCGUGACUGAUGAAGGUGUGCAAUAAUUGGAAACCAGAGGCAAAAUACAGAGUGCACUAAUUAGCUUAGCAAAUAAUAAGAAAGUGAUGCAUAACAGUUUCACAUAGAAAGAGUUUUGCAAAUCCUUCAACGGGUGGGUGCCAUUUUUACAUGCACCACAUCUCUUUUUUCAGGUAAGUCACGUACUACUUUAAUAUUUAUGUACCCUUUGAUUAAAUGCCUCAUUGGUCAAUGAGCUUACGAUUAUAACACAUCAUUUUCUUAUGCUUUCAUAUUAUAUUAAUAUUCAAAUGACCUACACUGCAAAAUGAUGUGUUAGUAUAACGUGUUUUAAUUUUAAUUAUAUCUCUAUACUUUUUUUCUAUUAGUUUUAAAAGUCUUCUCUUGAUUUGUGCGUCUUAUCUUUAGUCGGGGAUUCUUUGCAUUUUUCCAAUUUUCUCAUAUGUACCACGAGGAACAAAGUCUUGUUUUUUGAAUUUUCUUAGCAGUAAUAGAAUGAAAAUUUUGACUUAUAUGUAAAAAUAUUAUUCAGUAUUACUGGAGCAAUUUUGUCCCAUUCACUACUUUAUUGUUGAGUGGUUCAAUAUUUGUGGCUGAAGACAUCAUAUAUAUAAUAUAUGCGAACCUUAUAUUAUUUUAAUUUAUUUCUUUUACAUGAACUUGGACUUUAUUGAUUCUGGUCUAAAUUAUACACCUUAACCUACCCACAUUCACAAUUCACUUAUGAACAUCUUUUUUCUUAAAUAUCAAUUAACCUUGGAAGAUAUAUACAACAAAUAUCAAGCUAUUAAGGUCAAUAUCUUGUGUUCAUAACACAAUAUUUUUUUCUCAACAAAUCCUUAAAAUAUAUCCUUAACUAUUUUUAAUUAAAUAUUUUAAAACAUAUAUUUUUUAAUUGUUUUUUAUCGUUUAAUUUUUUAUUAAUUAAGUGACAUGAUUAUUAUUUUUCUUACCAUCUUGCGGUUAAUAUAAAAUAAAACAAUAUUAUAGUUAAUGUAAAACAAUAAGCUUAACUAACUUUAUUUUUUCAUAAAAGAAUUAUUAGAUAACGAGUUUAUCAUGUUUUUUUAGUUGUAAUUUUCAUGUCAUCAUAUACCAUAAAAAAAAGAUCAUCACCAUUGAUAUAAAUAGCAAUUAUCAAACACUUUUUCAAUGAAAAUAAUAAAAAUCACUUUUCAAUUUACAUUAAUCACAAUUUAGUUUUAUAUUAAACACAAAACAUCACAUUUUUAAUAUGUGGAAACAAGUAGCAGAGUAAUGGAAUAAAAUAAAAGUAAUGUAAACCACACAAAAUUAAACAAAAAAAAAAAUUCAAUUUUUUUUUUAAUACUAUUUAAUAAAAAUAACCUAGACCUUGAACCCUAAAUUCAUAGUAUUUUGAUUUUUAAAAAAAAUAAAUUUUGUCUUAUUUUUAAAAAAAAAUAUACAAUUUGAUCUGUUUUAUUAAAUUAACAUAAAGAGGAGGAAGUGGUGACAUGAUGUGACAAAGUUAUAAACGCACGUAUAAAAAUGUUAUAAAGUAUGAUUUAAAUUAGUAAUUACAAUUCACUGCAUAAUAAUUUAAAUUUUAAUAUUUUGAAACUUAACCUUAUAUAUUUUAAAUAUUUUUUAUGGCAGCAAACUUUGAAAAUAGUUAUUAAUUAUUAUUAUUAGUGGUAGUUAUAUCUUAUAAAAAUUACAACACAAUUUCCAAGUAAAAUCAUACUUAGUCUUUGAAAAGUUUGACUUUUCCUUCUCUCUGAAGGAAUGAAGGAUCUAUUUAACCACUCCUACUUUACCCUACCUGAAACACACAGAGCCUCAACUCGCUCAAAUGGAUUUGGUUGUAAAUUCCUUGAAUGCAACCACCAUUGCACUCGCUUCUCUAAUUCUCUUCUGUUUCUUUCUCUAUGGUCUCUUCAAAUUUUCUCGAGGGAAAGAACCUCCCACAGUUGCAGGUGCAUGGCCAAUACUUGGUCACCUUCCAUUGAUGAGUGGUUCAAAGUCACCCCACAGAACUUUGGGUGCUUUGGCCGACAAAUAUGGACCCAUUUUCACCAUCAAACUUGGUGCGAAAAGGGCUGUGGUAAUCAACAACUGGGAAAUAGCAAAGGAAUGCUUCACCACAAACGACACAGUCGUUUUCGGUCGCCCCAAGCUUGUUUCGGUGGAACUCAUGAGCUACAACCAAGCCAUGUUUGCCUUAGCACCCUAUGGUCCCUAUUGGCGAAAAAUAAGAAAGCUUACAAUUUCAGAGAUUCUCUCCCCUCAGCAAGUGAGGCAGCAACGUCAUCUUUUUGAGUCAGAGGUUCAAGAAUCGAUCAAGGAGCUCUUUGACCUUUGGCGCAGCAACAAGAAUGAGAGCGGCUAUGCCUUGGUGGACUUGAAGCAAUGGUUUUCUCAUCUGAUAUUCAACAUGGUCCUUCAAAUGAUUACAGGGAAGCGAUAUUUCAGUGCAGCAACUGUAGACGAUGAGAAGGCACAGAGAUGUGUGAGGACUGUGGAGGAGUUGAUGCGUCUGAUGGGGGUGUUCACAGUGGGAGACGCUGUUCCUUGGUUGAGACGGUUUGAUUUGGGAGGGAAUGAGAAGGCUAUGAAAGAAAUUGCUAAAGAGUUGGAUAUUAUUCUUGGUGAGGAGUUAGAGGAACACAGAAAAAGGAAGGGUUUGGGUGAAGCUAAAGAUUUCAUUGAUGUGAUGAUUUCCUUGUUUGAUGGAACAAUUACUGAUGGGGUCGAUGCAGAUACCGUUAUCAAAUCCACCAUACUGGUAUGUAUCUUCAAUAUGAACAUUAUAAUCCUUUCAAACUUCAACCGUCUAGUAUUUUAUUUUUCUUUCUAAUUUUGUUUUCUGCAUGGCACAGUAUAGCAUGGUUGAAUAGUGUAUAUUAGGGAUAACGAUCUGAGUCAACCCAUUCUAGAUAGAUAUGUCCUGUUAAAAAGUACAGAUUAAUUCUAUUGGUUUAUCUCUAAGGAAAAGAUUUCUUUAACAUCCAAAAAUAAAAUACAUACAAUUUAACAAAUCAUUAUAAUAAUAUUUUUAAAUUAAAAAAUAAUAUAACAAUGUUCUGAUUUUCAAUAAAAUUUGAAUUUUGAUUAUAAUAAUAAAUUAUUUAAUAAAAUAUUUUAUUAAAUAUAUACAUUUUUUUAAAGGUAAAUACAUUAUUACUAUUAAUUUGAAAAAUAAUAUAUUUAUAUAUAUAAUACAACCUUUAAAUUUUAUUAUAAAAAAGACUAAGGUAUUUUUUUUUUUUGAAAUGUCCCUUUUAAUUCAAUUUUAUUUUUUGUUGACAAAAAAAAUAUACUUUUUAGAAAGAUAAAAAACACCAUUUAUUAAAAAAUCAUUAUUGAAUUUUGUGAGGGUGAUAUAAAUUAGGGAUUGAGUGUAGAUUCUUCCUGCAUCUCCAUGCCUUUCUUCUUGCAUCCCAUUAUACAAAAAAUACUCAAAUUAUGCUUUGGCAUUUUUCUUUAAUUCCGAAAUGUGACAUUUAAUUUGGAAGUUAAAAUUUGUUUUGGGAUUGUACAUUAUUUCAGAUUGUACAAUCCAAAAUACAAAUUUGUAUACUAGAUUAUUGAAUUUGAAAUAAAUAAUUUUACAACUUUUGAGAAUAAGAGGUUGCUAGAAGAAAUAAAUAAGAUGAAGAAAUUAAAUAAAUUUAUGAAUUAAAAUUAGUUUAUAUAUGAAUUAAAAAUAAUAUUUUAUGUAAAUUGAUUUUAAUAUAUGAUUUUUUUUUUGUUUUAUAGAAGAACUUGUGAAUAAAACCAUAUUCUUAAUUUGUUUAAUUUGCAGACACUGAUUGCAGGAGGAACUGACACAAGUAGUGUUGUUCUUGUGUGGGCAAUGUGUUUGAUUUUGGGAAAUCCUUUGGUAUUGGAAAAAGUGCAAGCCGAACUAGACAUUCAUAUUGGAAAAGAGAAAUGCGUAAGUGAGUCUGAUAUGAGUAAGUUAACAUAUCUUCAAGCCAUAGUCAAAGAAACUUUAAGAUUAUAUCCUCCGGGUCCUCUUGCGACACCUCGUGAAUUCACAGAGAAUUGCACUUUAGGUGGUUAUAAUAUAAAAAAAGGAACUCGACUAAUCACAAAUCUUUGGAAGAUUCACACAGACAAGAAUGUUUGGGAAGAUCCAUUGGAGUUCAAACCUGAAAGGUUUCUUACAACUUACAAAGAUCUCGAUGUUAAAGGUCAUCAUUUUGAGCUAAUACCAUUUGGAGGUGGUAGAAGAAUGUGUCCAGGAAUAUCCUUUGGCCUUGAAGUAGUGCAAUUCUCUCUUGCUAGUAUUUUGCACUCUUUUGAAUUUUUAAGUUCAUCACCUGAUCCUAUUGACAUGACCGAAAACUUUGGAUUAGCCAACACCAAAGCCACUCCACUUGAGAUUCUUAUUAAACCACACCUAUCUUUUAGUUGUUAUGAAAACAACUAAUCCAUGUGCUAGUUAUGCGGUCACAAUUUAUUUUCAUUCAAAGUAUCGUUCAAAGUCUUUGCUAUCUUUGUAUUUUUGUUCAAAGUGCUUGAUAUAUUUUAAUUUUCCUUUAAUGUACUUGAUAGAUUUAUAGCUUAUCUUUGUAAACUUUGAAACUCUUUCAAAUAUAUCAUUAAUAAAAAGAAUAAUUACACCGCAUAUUCUCACUACUUUAUUCCUUCUUUAUCGAUAUUUUCUUUAUAUUUUUCAAGUCCCUCUUAUGGAAAUAAAUCUUUGUAAAUUUUUUUCCUCUAUACAUCCUUCCAACUAGUAAGGCUCUGAUUUGGAUGUGAUUUGAAUCAUUCUUUAGCUUUUCCUGUCAAUGAGAAAGGAAAUAAACGUAGAUAAACAGUUUCAAUAUCACCUGAUUGAAAGUCUAUUGUUCCUACCAAUUCAUAAAAUGUAGACAAAUGUGUAUAUGGAUCCUCAUGGUCCAUUGUUGUAAAUUGAUGGGUACUUAUCAGACUGAGGAAUGCAGGUUUCAUCUCCAAGGCGUUGGUGGUAGAAGGUAUUGCAAUACUAGAGAAAUGAUGGCCUCUGGUGCAUAGCAUAAUCUCCAAGUGUUCUCUUGGGUUGUUGAUGACUUUUUACGGCAAGUGCACUGUGUUUGUCAGAAGUAAUAAUUGUCCCUAAGAACGAAUAUCAAUCCACAAGGAACAAUGAAGUGAAUUAUUGAGUACAAAAUUCGCUAAAUAUAACAACAGAACAAUAAAAAGAGUUUUGAAGUGAUUGUGUUGACACCGAUCAAUAAUAAAAUAAACAAAGAAUUAGUUGCUUGAAUUGAAAAAAUAGGGAUUAGGUUUCAUUUUUCUCACUCUCAUGUAUUUUGAUUAGGAUGUUAAUAUUAAGUUCUUUGAUUGAAAUUGAUGGCCAUAAAAAAUUCAUUUUUAUCGAUCCCUCGCAUAUAAAAUCCUUAAAAAUGUUUCCUAAAUAUCGAUCCCUUGCAUAUUUAUAAAAACAACUUAGAAUCCCAUUGAGACGUUAAUGUCAAUUAACAUUUCAAGUUUAUCCUUAACACUCAAAUAUGUUAAGUAUUGUUGUUCAGGUUUGAACCCUAAAAAUACCUCUCGGUUAGAUUUAAGACUAUCAAUUUGUCACGGAAAGUUAAAAGUAAAACAACAAUACCAAUAAUCAAUCAAGAACUUAAUAUUAAUAUAUAAGAUAUCACCUCAAUAUAUAAGAGUUUGAGCAUAUUACUCCAAAUCCAAAAUGGUAAAAUUAGCCACGCAUACUUCUAGCACCUUCCAUUCUCCUAAUUGGGUUACAAUUCACUCUAUGGUGUUUUCCUCUCAAUCUGACACAGUAGGAUUGAGCCUCUAGCCCCCUAUUUAUCCUAAUUUUCUAGGGUUAGGUCGCUUCUUAUGUCGUGCUAAUGGGCUAAGUGAUAAAACAUAAAAAAAACCCCAAUCUUUCUGACGUAUUCUCGCUCAAGCGAGAUACUCUUGUGGCGAAAUAGUCUUUUUCUGCAUCUCUUUGCAUUCUAGGACCUACCUUCUAGCUUUAUCUUUUUAGCUCAAAUUAUUCUCCUUUACUCCAAAUCUUCAAUCCUCCCUAAAAAUAUGCAAUUAACACCAAAUUUGGGAAUAAAAUUCUCUUAUUCAAAUAAAGAUCAUACAAAAUGUAUAAAUUCAUAAAUUAGAGAUUAUUCUAUAUGUAAAUUAGCAAUAAAUCCUCCUAAGUGCCUAAAUUUUAAUAUGAAAUAUUACUGAAAUUAGACACUUAUGAGUUGUGGUGGUGGUUUUUUUUGGCUAUAAUGCUUUCUUCUUGAAAAAUAUUAAUGGGAAGGAAAAAAAUGGUUAAGGAUUCUUCUAUAGUCUCUUUGUUUUUCUGUUCUCUUUCUCUCGUUGUUUCUUGUAGCUGCCUUUUCAAUCUCUAAUUUAAACAAUUGAGGAUUCUUCUAGCAGAAACAAUUUAAGCCAUAACAGUUCUUGGAGUUAAUCUUUAAAAGGUUUAAUUUGUAUUUUUUAGAAGUUCACAGUGUAUAAAAAAAUAAUUUUCUUUAAAAAUUAGAUUCAAAUUGGUUCUACAACAAUGUGCUUUGAUAAAAGACUUUACUUUUAAAUUGUAAAGCAAGAUUCAAAUCAGCUUUCAAUAACCGUCUAUUUAAACAAUAAAACACUUUAAAUCACAUUUUAAAAUCAAAUUUGAUAUGAUGAUGUUUAAAACCAGUUCCAAAACGAGAUUUCUUAUUGAUGGUUUGUUUUUAAGUAUGAACUUGUCAUCAAAGACACCAUCCAGUUUUUAAGUUUGAUUAAUUUCUUUAGUUGUUAGAAGUAAUGAAUACGAGAGAAGAAUAACACACAAUGAUUUAUACUAAUAUGAGAGAAGUAGUGUAUAUACUCUUACUUACGAUAAAGAAUUAUAAAAAUUAAAAGAAGUAAAACUUGACGAAAUUUGUACUUCCAUCAUUAUUUUUUCCUUUAUCACUUAUUUCUAUACUCUUUCUUUAACAACAUUGUAAUAUAGCGAUUUUUUAUAACAAAAUAUGAAAUAAUUUUAAAACGUGUGAAGAAAACGGUAUGGAUGAAUGGAUACGUUAUAUUGAUAAAUAAAUAAACCACAUGCGUUGGUUUUAAUCAAGACAAUAACUUGACAUAUACAUACGUAUCUCCAAAAUUUUAUUUACCCAAUUCUUACCAAAAAUAUUUUAAAAUAAUUAAUUUGUCGUCGUAUAAAUUCUCACUUCUAAUUGAAAAAUGUAUGAGCAUAUUUAUUUUCCAAUUUGUAACAAAAUUUACGAAUUUAUAUAUAAUUUUACAAUAAUUAUUUUUUAGUUUAUUAACAUGGCAUAAAAUUAAAGUUUUCGUUUUCUUUUAUUGACAUGUUGGUCGAAUAAGAGGUUUUUUUUAUUUUAUUUUAAUUUCUUUAAUUAUUUAAUUACCUAAAUUAUUUCAAUCAACACAACAAGUAAGAUAGGACGUUUAUAAAUAAUUAUCAGAAUAAUAUUUCAUUAAGUAAACUAAUUCUUAAUAUUUUAGAACAGUUACCAACAAGUAUCCACAGUUAAAAAAUAAAAAUAAAAAUAUAAAUUUAAUAUAUUAUAAAAAAAUAGAUUUGAAUAUUACACUUAUCAAAAUUACUUUCUAUUUUAGUUUCUAAUUUUUUUUAUAGACUCUUGAAUUAAAAAAUUAAAAAUAUUUUUUAUUCAUCCCAAUCUAAAAGUGAUAGUUUAGUCUUUUGAAAUUUAAAUACUAUUUUGAGUUAUCUAAUUUAUUAAUAAUUGACAAAUUCGUUAAUAAUUAUAGAUUCAAUUGAAAAAAAUAAAGAAUAAAAAAAACAAAGCAUCAAUGACAUAAACUCAUAAUAAUGAAUCCAGACACUGAAUUACAAAACAUUAUUUUAUUUAUAUGAAUUCGAUUGCACUUUCUUUAUAAUGAUAUUUCUUUUGAGUUUUAAUUAUCUAGAAAUUUUCCAAACAAUUAUAUGUGACAAAGCAUGAACAUGAAAUCAAUAACAGUAUAUAUGAAGUUGAAUGUGUAACGAUGUGACCAUUUUACACUAUCAAUCUAUUCCAUGUUUUUCCAUUACAAUUUGAUUUGUGUGCUUAAAGUGAUCAAUCAUGGAUGCAAAUAAUGAUGAAAUAGAAAUUAAUAUGCUCAUAAAAAAAUAAAGGCAACGUUGGUGUACCUAACAUGGUGGUGACGAACUACAUCAACUACAUUAGAACAGUUCUUUUAUGGGUGGUGUGUGUGCUGCCUUAUGUGAAUAAGGAAAAUUUUACGUAUAUAUUGUGGAGGUAGGAAAAGUUUUAUCUACCCCACGGGACGCCAAAUGUUCUAGCCAAGAGGGAUGUCUCCCUACUAAAGCGUACAAUUAAGCCAGAAACAAUGGUUUCUAGCCCUAAAGUGUUUGUCAGGUCAUCUUCUUUCCCUUAUAUAAGUUAGUGCUCUCCUCCCUUUUUGUAUCCCUUCUUGUUUUGAGUUAUAUUUUCAAAUUGAUUACAAUCACAUAUAUACGGUCGAUCUCCAUAAUCAACGCACUCUCCUCUUUAUGAAAAAUAAAUAAGAUCUUUUUCAUUAAUUUCAGAGAUAGACUAUUUCACCACAUCAUCGGUCUGAUAAGUUCAUAACCAUUAUUUACAUAGAUCGACACAAAAACCAUUUCACCAUGUGAUAACACUCGAUCCAUGAUCUCACAAUACCAAAUUAAAAGAAUUCUUAAUUUUUUUUGAAAAUAAAGCUAUUUUGAAAUUGUUGUUAAAUUAUUUCAUCUUAAUAUUUAGGUCUUAUUUUCAAAAUUUGAAUUCCAACACGAUUUAUCUAUUAAUAUAACGUGUCUUAAUUUUAAUUAUAUCUCUCUAUACUUUUUUAGUAAGUUUUAAAAGUCUUGUCAUGAUUUGUGCGUGUUAUCUUUACUCGGGGACUCUUUGUAUCUUUCCAAUGUUCUCAUAUGUCCCACAAGAGACAAAGUCUCUUUUCAAUUAUUUUAGCAAUAAUAGAAAACUUACUUAUUUUAAAAUACUAUUCAGUAUUAUUAGAGCAUUCUUAUUGGGGUAAGUCAGGUACUACUUUAAUGUUUAUGUACUGUUUGAAUAAAUGUCCCAUUGAAAAAUGUGAGCAUUUUUGUCCCAUUCUUAACUUUAUUGUUUGGUAGAAAUUUUUCGUCCGGAAGAGUAAUUAAGUGGUGCAGUUUCUACCUAACUCUCCGGCCACCUGUUUAAUGCUAAUACGUCGUCAUUCGUGCUCAUAUGUUGAUGCGAAAAGAUUUAUUUCACAUUAAAAACAUAUAUUUAACAUCACAUUAUUAUAAUAAUAUAAUCAGGUUUAAAAUUAAAAAAUAAAUUAAAUAUAUGUUUAAUAUGUCUCAGUUUUUUUUUUCAGAAAAUGUUUUUUAUGAAUGAUUUAAAAUGUUUUUUUUCUUAUUUUUAUAAUUAUAAUAUAAUCUUUUAGAAUAAAAAUUUAAUUUUUAAAAAAUUAAUAUGUUUUUUCUUUUAAAAAUUUUGUUAGAAUUCUAAUAAAAUUGUCAAAAAUUUUAAAAAUAUAUUUAAGAGACGUAUUUAACUUAGUUUGAUAAGUAAGAGAUUUGUGAAAGGUAUUAAUUAAAAGAGUGGUGAUAUAUUAACACUUUUAAUGAUAAAAACACAUUUUUUUUUAAAUAAAAGUUUUCAUGUUAGACAUCAUUAUGCAGUUUUUACACUUUUUAUACUAUAAUAAAUUAAUAUUUUAUUUAUUUUUAUUUUAUUUUUUAAUUUAAAAAUAUUAUUAUAAACAAUGUAAAUGUAUGUUUUUUUAUUCACUAUAAUAAAAUCAUGAAAUAGAAACCAAUUUGUAGAAAUCAAAAUAAUUAGUUGCAAUAGUAACUAAAAAGAAAUUUGGUUUCUAAAUUAGUUUCUAUUAUUGUUAAAUAGUUUCUAAAUUGGUAUCUAAUUAGCAACUAAGGUUUUUCUACCAAAUUUAGAAACUAAAUAAUUGGUAGUUAAAAUCUUAAUUGCUAAUUAAAUAUCAAUUUAAAAACUAUUUAAUAAUAAUAUAAAUUAAUUUGAAAAACUAAUUUUGUUUACUUUCUAAAUAUUUAAUGAUUUUCUGUCUGAACAAAACUUUUCUCUAAUUAAGAAGGAGUGAUACUUUAUAAUUUGUGUUUUAUAAAUAAUUACUUUACAAUUUUGCUAUAGUGAUAUAAUAUUUAAAGUUAUCUAAUUAAUUUAUACUUUUUACAUUUAUUAUAUUAUUAUAGUUGUAAAGUAUUAUAAAAUUAUCUUUAUGUUGAGUAAAAAAUAGAUGAUUUGAUAAGUAAUUAGAGAGAUCUUUAUAAAAGUGGAGUGAUUUUUGUCUAUUAUCACUAUGAAGUUUGUUAUUGACACGAUUUUUCCAAAUUUAGAAAAUAACUAUAUUUUAAUUAUGAGUGGCGGCAAAUAUUAACUCAUCUUUUCAAGAGAGAAAUGAUAUUUUAACUAUAAAAAAUGAUUUGAUUUGAUUGAUUUAAAUAUAAAUAUAUAUUAUAAUAAGAUUGUAUAAAAUAGUAGGGUUGUUAGAAACCUAAGAACAGUGUCAGAGAGUGACUCACAAGUUAGAGAUAUUAAAAUCCAAUUUGUGUAGCCUCAAGCAUGCAUCGCAUACACAAUCUUCUCUCUUGGGUAAAAUGGAUCUAAAUGUUUCUGCAAUUGGACUUGUUUCUCUACUUCUCUUCUGUUUCUUUUUCUUUGGUCUCUUCAAAUUUUCUCAAGGAAAAGAAGCUCCCACAGUUGCAGGUGCAUGGCCAAUACUUGGCCACCUUCCAUUGUUGAGUGCUUCAAAGAGACCCCAUAGAACUUUGGGUGCUUUGGCUGACAAAUAUGGACCCAUUUUCACCAUCAAACUUGGUGCCAAAAGCGCUUUGGUAAUCAACAACUGGGAAACGGCAAAGGAAUGUUUUACCACAAACGACAUAGUCGUUUCCUCUCGCCCCAAGCUUGUUGCUGCUGAACACAUGAGCUACAACCAAGCCAUGUUUGUGGUAGCACCCUAUGGUCCCUAUUGGCGAAAAAUAAGAAAGAUUACAGUUUCAGAGAUUCUCUCCCCUCUGCGAGUGAAGCAGCUGCGUCAUGUUUUUGAGUCAGAAGUUGAAGGUUCGAUCAAGGAGCUCUUUGACUUUUGGCGUAGCAACAAGAAUGAGAGCGGCUAUGCCUUGGUGGAGUUGAAGCAAUGGUUUUCUCAUCUGAUAUUCAACAUGGUCCUUCAAAUGAUUACAGGGAAGCGAUAUUUCAGUGCAGCAACUGUGGAUGAUGAGAAGGCACGGAGAUUUGUGAGGGCUAUGGAGGAGUUCAUGCGUCUGUUCGGGUUGUUCACAGUGGGAGAUGCUGUUCCAUGGUUGAGAUGGUUUGAUUUUGGAGGGCAUGAGAAGGCAAUGAAAGAAACUGCGAAAGAGUUGGAUAGUAUUAUAGGUGAGGAGUUAGAGGAACAUAGAAAAAGGAAGGGUUUGGGUGAGAAGGUUGAUGAAGCUAAAGAUUUCAUGGAUAUCAUGAUUUCAUUGUUUGAUGGAAGAACUAUUGAUGGGGUCGAUGCAGAUACCGUAAUCAAAUCCACCCUUCUGGUAUGUAUAUUCAUUACACACACAUUAUAAUCUUUUCAAAUUUCAACAAAAUUCAACAUACAUAUAAAACGAAUUAAUAUAUAUAUAUAUAUAUAUUUAUAUUGGUGUAUGUAAAUUUUUUCUUAAGAGAUAUUUAAAAAAAAAAAUAGUUUCUAUUAUUAAUAAAUAAUUUCUAAAUUGGUAUCUAAUGUUUUAAUUAUCAAUUAUUUAGAUUUUAAAUUUUGUAGAAAUAAUCUUGGUAGCUAAUUAGAUACCAAAAUAGAAACUAAUAACUUUUUUAGUCUCUAAACUAGUAUUUAAUUUACUCAAUAUAACACCUAGUUAUAUUUGGUAUCUAAAAUUGGUUUCUAUUUAAUGAUUUUCUUGUAGUGAUGGUUGUAUAGUUUAAUAUAUACCAUGAUUGUAAAGUCUAUCUAAAGAACGAGAAUGCCGGUUAGCCUAUCCUAUAUAGGUCUGUUCCAUAUAGAAAAUGAAUGUUGAUUUUAUUGGUUUGUCUUUAAUGCUGAUUGCUUCCCAAAUGUGCACAUAAGAAAUAUAUAUUUUAAAUUAUAAAAAAUAAAUUUUGAAUAUUUUUUUUAUUAAGUUAAUCUUUUAUUUAUUUAAAUGAAUUAGAUAAAUUGUCUCACAAUAUUAUUCUCAUGAUAAUGCCUAAUAAGAUAUAGGUAAAAAAUAAUAUUAUAAUUAUGUUUUGAUUUUCUAUAAAAUUAGAAUUUUAAGGCAAAUACAUUAUUACUAUUCUAAUUUGAAAAGUAAUAUAAAAUAAUAUAUAUAUAUAUAUAUAAUACAAUUUUUAAAUUUUAUUAUAAAAAAAGAGUAAGGUAUGCUAAUGCAUUUGACAUAUGAUGAUAUGCAUUUCAGAAAGACAAAAAAACACCAUUAAAUAUUAAAAAAUCAUUAUUGAAUUUUGUGAAGGUGCUAUGAAUUAGGGAUCCACUGUAGUUUCUUCAUGCACCACCUCCAUGUCUUUCUUCUUGCAUCCCAUAGUUCAUAAAAUAUUCAAAUUAUCCUUUGAUAUUUUUCAUUGAAUGUUUUUCUUUAAUUCUGAAAUGUGGCAUUUCAUCUAGAAGUUAAAAUUUGUGUUUGGGAUUGUACAUUAUUUCAGAUUGCACAAUCCAAAAUACAAAUUUGUAUACCAGAUUAUAGAAUUUGAAAUGAAUAAUUUUAGAAAUUUUGAGAAUAAGUGGCUGCAAAAAAAAUCAUGGGGGUAUAUAUAAAAAAAACUAAUUCUUAAAAAAUGUGGGUUAUACGGGUCAACGUGCCUUAUCCCACACUUUGCCGGUAUGUGCUACGGGUUAUGCGAGGCGGGUCAACAAGUUGAAAUAGCCAGUCUACCCUGUAUUUCUUUUAGCGGGCCAAGGACUGGUCUACACGACCCACUCCGUUUUGCCAUCCAUAAUUUAAGUAACUAGUUACUAAAUAUAAAGUAUUAUAAUUAUGUGAAAUAUAUAUAAUAAAUAAUUUAUUUACGUAAAUUACACUAUAGUAAUUUUAAAUUUGAUUAGAGUAAACACUUGUAAAAUAUUCUUCUAUCAUGUCUAUUGGCAAUUUUUUCAAGUAAAUGUAUCCACAAACACUUACAAAAGAAAUAAAUAAGAAGAAGAAAUUAAAUAAAUUUUUUACAAACUAAAAUUAGUAUAUAUGAAUUAAAAAAAUAUUUUACAUAGAUUUAUUUUAAUAUAUGAUUUGUUUCCCUUAUAGAAGAACUUGUGAAUGACCAUAUUCUUAAUUUUCUUAAUUUGCAGGCAGUGAUUGCAGGAGGAACUGACACAAGUAAUAUUGUUCUUACGUGGGAAAUAUCUUUGAUUUUGAGGAAUCCUUUGGUAUUGGAAAAAGUAAAAGUGGAACUAGACAUUCAUAUUGGAAAAGAGAAAUGCGUAAGUGAGUUUGAUAUAAGUAAGUUAACAUAUCUUCAAGCCAUAGUCAAGGAAACUUUAAGAUUGUAUCCUCCUGCUCCUCUUUCGACGCCUCGUGAAUUCAUAGAGGACUGCACUUUAAGUGGUUAUAAUAUAAAAAAAGGAACUCGUCUAAUCACAAAUCUUUGGAAGAUUCACACAGAUAGUAAUGUUUGGGAAGAUUCAUUGGAGUUCAAACCAGAAAGAUUUCUUACAACUCAUAAAGAUAUUGACGUCAAAGGUCAUCAUUUUGAGUUAUUACCAUUUGGAGGUGGCAGAAGAAUGUGUCCAGGAAUAUCCUUUGGCAUUGAAGUAGUGCAUUUCUCUCUUGCUAGUUUUUUGCAUUCUUUUGAAAUUUUAAGCUCAUCACCUAAUCCUAUUGACAUGACUGAAAACUUUGGAUUAACCAACACCAAAGCCACUCCACUUGAGAUUCUUAUUAAACCACGUCUAUCUUUUAGUUGUUAUGAAAACAACUAAUCCAUGUGUUAGUUAUGCAGUCACAGUUUGUUUUCAUUCAAAGUACUUUUUUUCUAUAAUAUCGUUAAAGUCUUUGCUAUCUUUGUAUUUUCAUUCAAAGUGCUUGAUAUAUUUGCACUUUCGUUCAAUGUACUUGAUAUAUUUAUAGUUUAUCUUUGUAAACUUUGAAACUCUUUCAAAUAUAUCAUUAAUGAAAAGUAUAAUUACAUUGUAUAUUCUCGCUACAUUUACUCUUUUAUACUUAUUCCUUCUUUAUUGAUAUUUUCUUUAUAUUUUCCAAGUCCCUCUUAGUGAAUUCUCAGUGGUUAGCUGAGGACUGAGUGUAGCUCUAGGUUAAGAGUGAAUCAAUAUAAACUUCUUGUGUGAAUCUCUCUAUCCUUACACCCUUUAAACUGUUUUAGCUUUGAUUUUAUAACCUAAUGGUUAAACAACCGGUUGUUUCGCAAAAACAAAUGGUUGAUUUUCUGGAAUCAAACUAAAAACAGUUUUAUAAUUAGAUGAACAAUUUUCUAAUUGAUUGAUUCUUCACUAUGUCUUUCACUCUACCUUCAAUACUAGCGAAAAUCUUUCAAAAACAAUUCACCCCCCUCUUAUUUAAGGCUUAUAAUUCUAACAUCGUCUUCCCAUUAAUGUUAAGAAGUGUACCAAUUAAACUAUCACACACAUUCUUCUUUGCAUUAAAUCAAUACAAUGUCUGAAUUCUAACUUCGACCAAUAUGAAAGAUCAAAGAAGAUUGAUUUUUUCUUCCAUAUGUUUGUCACAAAUGACUUCUUUCUUGACUUCUGAAGGUGUGUCCUAUGUUAUUUACCUUUUCAUAAACCUCAACACUAGUUAAUGGAGUUGGUAGACUGACAGUCUUUUGAUGUCCAUUAAAGACUUUUUUCAACCUCCGGUAAGGAUGGUGACUUCUAAGAAACCUCCACUGCCAAAGAUAUACUAUCUUCCUUUCAUGUUUCAAUUGCUGAAAAGCAGUGUCUUCUUCACAUAUUGGACAUGCUUUUUGACCCUUGACACUACACCCUGAUAAGUUAUUGUAUGCCAAAAAGUUAUUUAUUGUGCAAAAGAACAUGGCAAGCAUCUUGAAAGUUUCAUUAACAAACCAGUCAAAGUGUCAUUAGCAACAUGGCUUACAGUGAAAAUACCGAGGGGUUGUAAAACAUCCUUCAUAGCUUUAAUUCCUACAGUUUCUGACCUAACUAAGUUGCGAUAAUAUAAACUGAUUUCUCUAGUUGGGAUUUUCUAUAAAAUCAUAUCCAAAGUGUUGGCUAACAGAAUUAAGAAAGUCAUGCCUAACAUUAAGAUGAAUCUCAAUCCACAUUCUUGUGGGGGAGAAGGCUUUUGGAUAUCAUUUUAGUGACCAAUGAGGUCGUGGAGGAUAUUAGGAGUCAUGGUAAGAGUGGGGCUAUUGUCAAGGUGGAUUUUGAUAAAACAUAUGACUCGAUGAUGUGACAAUUCAUGUUUUAUAUGAUGAAGAAACUAGGCUUUAGGGAGAAGUGGAUUAGGUGGAUCAAGUGUUGUUUGGUUUCUUCCUCAGUUUCUAUUUUAGUUAAUGGUAGCCCAACUUCUGAGUUCAACCCAUCUAGAGGGUUAAGGCAAGGGGACCCCUUGGUCCCUUUCCAACUCCUUAUCGUUGUCACUACUAGAAAAUCAUUAAAUAUAAACUAAUUUUAGAGAAAAAAAUAAUUAGUUAUUAUAUUGACUAAAUUAGAUAUUAUUUUAGAGACUAAAAAAAAUAUUGGUAUCACUAUGAAACUUGACAUCUAAGUUAGGAUGACACCUCAAGUAACAACAAUCAUCAUCCACCACAUGAAAAAAAUAUCAUUAAAAAAAGGAAAAAAGAAAGAAAGAAAGGAAAUACAAGCCAUAUGAGGAGACUAGACCAAAACCCAUAUACAAAAAUCCUAAGAAAAGUGAUACUUAGGUAAUAUAUCCCUACUAAUAAAGAAUUCUAAGAAAAAACUAGAUGGAAGCCUAUUAACCAAUUAAAUUAUUCUAUAUGAAUAAACCCUAAGUUAGCAAGCUUAUCAGCACAUUCCUUUCCUUAAAAAAAAAAAAAGUGAGAAAUCCCACAUCUGAUUUUCCCAUAGAAAUGAAGGCAAGUGUUCCACCUAUUAUGAAGAAUCCAAGGAACCUUAGUCAUAGUAGUAAAUGCAGCACAAACCAAGGUAGAAUCACAUUCAAGUCAUAAACUAGUAAGACCCAUCUUUUUAGUUUCAUAAAAGGCCUAUAUAACUCCCUAAAACUCAACAACCAAAGUAAUCUAAAAAUCAAGGAAAGCAGAGAAACCACCAAUAAAAUACCACCACAAGCGGCAAAACCAGGAUAACCCCUAGUAACACUAUCAUUAUUAAUUUUAACCCAACCUAGUGAAGGAAACUCUCAUCUAAUAGGAGGAGGAUGAAGAACUUUAUCAUUACGAGUACUAAUAUCAAAGAACUUAAGCACAUUGAAAUCAAACAUAUCAUUCCUUAUAGAACUUUUAGACGAAUUACACAUUAGGUAAGUAAAAUCCUUAAUGGUGGAAAUGGUCCUGAAAAGAUCAAUCUUAACCUGAAAUCUAACAUAAUUUCUCAUACGUCAUAUUAUCCUAGAGAAGGUAAUCACAACAAGUUUAAUCAAAUUAAACAAAUGACUACCAUCGCUCUUAAUAAAAUAAAGGAGAUCACUCACAUUAGAAAAAUGGAAUUAAGAAUAGUCUUUUAAGAUACCUAUAUUUGUUAUAAUUAAAUAUCCAAUUAUUAUUUCUAAAAUUAAAUUAAUUUUAUUACUAAAAAUUAAAUUUUAAAAAUGCAUAUUUGACUUGUAUUUAAAUUUAUUUUUUAUUUUUAAAGUGGACUAAAAUCUUUAGCUCUACCUAGGAGUAGAUCAAACAAAAAAAAUAUAUAAUUUUGAUUAGAAAAAAAUGAAAGUGACCUAAACUGGAUCUUUCAUAAGUAUUCCAUAUAAAUAAACUGAUCUGAUCGACCAACCCAGAAUUAAAAUCCAAUGUCGAUCAUGGAAUGAACCAGAAACACUUUCUAACUCACCCUACUUUUUCCAUCUGUUUUUAGGUUGAAGAUAAACGUGUUGCACUUGAUGAUCUAUAUACUGUCAUCUUCAGCACCUACCCAAUUAAUAAUUUCUACUUCCAACAAAUUUACUGGUUCACAUUUGUCGCUAUUGUUGUAUACAAAUUAUUAUAUGCUUAUUAGUCUGACAUUUUUCUUUUCUAAAUUUGCAAUUAAUAUUACUAUAAGAACAGAAGAAAUUUCACCACAGUGUCAAAUAUAUUUAUCAAUACCAGUUCAAAUAACAUCAGUAAACUUACCUAUGUUAGUACAAUUCCUAUAUAUAUAUAUGCACACUGGCUAAUGAACAAAAUGUGUAUCUUAAUGGAGUUCGUUUUGGAUUACCUUAAUGGCAGUGCCAUUGGUCUUCUUUCUCUAAUCCUCUUGUAUAUGUUUCUCUAUAAUCCCUUCAAAUUUUGUAAGGGAAAGAAGAAAGAGGCUCCCACAGUUGCAGGAGCAUGGCCAAUACUUGGUCACCUUCCACUGUUGAGUGGUUCAAAGACACCCCAUAGAACUUUGGGUGCUUUGGCUGACAAAUAUGGACCCAUUUUCACCAUCCAACUUGGUUCCAAAAAGGCUUUGAUAAUCAACAACUGGGAAAUAGCAAAGGAAUGCUUCACCACAAUCGACAUGGUUGUUUCUUCUCGCCCCAAGAUUCUCGCCUCUGAACUCAUGGGCUACAACCAUGCCAUGUUUGGCUUUGCACCCUAUGGUCCCUAUUGGCGCGAGCUUCGAAAGAUUACAACGUUAGAAAUCCUUUCCCCUCGUCCAGUGGAACAACUGCAGCAUGUUCGUGUCUCAGAACUUCAAAACUGGAUCAAAGAGUUGUAUGAUGUUUGGUGUAGCCAAAAGAGUGAGUCUGGCUAUGCCUUGGUGGAGCUGAAGCAAUGGUUUUCUCACCUCGCAUUCAACAUGGUUCUUCGAAUGGUCGUUGGGAAGAGACACUUUGGUGGUGAAAACUUAGAAGAUGAGAAAGCACAGAGAUAUGUGAGGGCUGUGGAGGAGUUCAUGCGCCUGUUCGGAGUGUUCACAGUGGGAGAUGCUGUUCCAUGGUUGAGAUGGUUUGAUUUUGGAGGGCAUGAGAAGGCAAUGAAAGAAACUGCGAAAGAGUUGGAUAGUAUUAUAGGUGAGGAGUUAGAGGAACAUAGAAAAAGGAAGGGUUUGGGUGAGAAGGUUGAUGAAGCUCAAGAUUUCAUGGAUGUAAUGAUUUCAUUGUUUGAUGGAACAACUAUUGAAGGGAUCGAUGCAGAUACCAUGAUCAAAUCCACCCUACUGGUAUGAAUGUUUAAUUUACACGUUAUAAUACUUUCUGAAAUGUGAAAUUUUAAGAAAAUUAAACUUAUAAUAAGAAAAAUAUACAUUGACAUUAUAGAACUCAUGAAGUAUUCCGUAGAAAAUAAGUAAAAUUAAAUAUCUUUUCUUGUAAAUUAAAAUUAAGUAUAACCUAAGUUAUUUUUAGUAAUAAGUUUUUCAAAUAUAAUCUUAAUUCAUUACAUGAAAAAUAUUAAAUAAAAACUAAUUUUAAAUACCAAAAUAAUUAGUUAAUAUUUGAUAUAAUUAAAGAUCAUUUUAUAAAUUAAAAAAAAUUAUUGAUAUCUAAAUUAUUUUUUUUUAUUAAUAAAAAAUUAUAAAAUAAUUUUUAAAUUGGUAUCUAACCAUUAACUACCAAGGUUUUAGCUACUUACUACUUUAUAUUCUAAAUUAGUCUCUAUUAGUCUUUUAGAGACUAGUUUAUAAUAUAAAAUAUUAGUAACUAAAACCUAAAUAACUAAUUUAGAUAUCAAUUUAGAAACUAUUUUAUAAAUUUUUAUUAAUAAUAUAAAUUAUCUUAGAUACCAAUAAUUUCUUAGUCUCUAAAUAAAUAUCUAAUUUAGUCAAAAUAGUGACUAAUUAUUUUUUAUCUUUAAAUUGGGUUGCUAUUUAAUGAUUUUUUCUAGUGAUUUUCUUCACUUAAAUAUUUUUGUUGGGUAACUUAUUUGUUUUGUAGGCAGUGAUUGUAGGAGGAAUUGACACAAACAAUACAAUUCUUACAUGGACAAUAUCUUUGAUUUUAAGGAAUCCUUUGGUGUUGGAAAACGUAAAAGAUGAACUAGACACUCAUAUUGGAAAAGAGAAAUGCGUAAAUGAGUAUGAUAUAAGUAAGUUAACAUAUCUUCAAGCCAUAGUCAAAGAAACUUUAAGAUUGUAUCCUCCUACUCCUCUUUUUGGACCUCGUGAAUUCACAGAGAAUUGCACUUUAAGAGGCUAUAAUAUAAAAAAGGGAACCCGACUAAUCCCAAAUCUUUGGAAGAUUCACACAGAUAGUAAUGUUUGGGAAGACCCUUUGGAGUUCAAACCAGAAAGGUUUCUUACAACUCGUAAAGAUAUCGACGUCAAAGGUCAUCAUUUUGAACUAUUACCAUUUGGAGGUGGUAGAAGAAUAUGUCCAGCAGUAUCCUUUGGCCUUCAAAUGGUGCAUUUCACUCUUGCUAGGUUUUUGCAUUCCUUUGAAAUUUUAAGUUCAUCACCUGAUCCUAUUGACAUGUCUGAAACAUGUGGAUUAACCAACACUAAAGCCACUCCACUCGAUAUUCUUAUUAAACCACGUCUAUCUCUUAGUUGUUAUGAAAACAACCAUUCCUUGUCUUAGCUACAUGAUUACAUUGUAUUUUUGUUCAAAGUACUUUUUUGUUCCUACUAAAUAGUUCAAAGUAUUAUAGUUCCUCUAUUAUAUAUUUGUAUUUUUGUUCAAAAUUACUUGUAAUAUUGGUAGUUUAUCUUUGUAAAUUUUGUAACUCUUUCAACUAUAUAAUUGAUGAAAGUAUGAUUACAAUUUAUAUUCUCACCAUUUUAACUUUUUUUAUUCCUUCUUUAUUGAUAUUUUCUUUAUAUUUUUCAAGUCACUCUUAUUGUUGUCUUGUUAAAAUUGAAGUUUGUAUUUUUACCUAUUUAUGUUUAAUUCAUUUUCAUGUACUAGAUACUACAAUGAUAAUUUGCUUAUUUGGCUUUAUUUCAAACAUCAAUGUUUAUCGACUCAAGACAUCAUAUAUGUCACUUCAGGGGUGAUCCAACCCAUAUUCAAAAGACUAACACAACCCUACAACACCACAUAUUCCAGACAGUUACACGCUUAACUCGGCCCAACAUCAACCGCAUACAAACUAAAACGAAAAAAGGCAAAUCAGAUGAUCAAGACACCCAUCAGAAUAAGAGAAACAAGCAACGGGAUUUAGAAGUAAUCCAAGACCAAACCUUCAAUUGAGCCAAAGAGAAGAUCUCCGAGUAAUCCAACACUCCACCUUUAAAAAUAAUCUUAUUCCUGUGACACCAAAUCUUACUAACCACCACAAGCCAAAUACUCUUCAGCCCUAAGUUGUCCGACUCAGGAGCAUUACACAACUUGAACUGCUAAAAUUGAGAGGAGUUAAGGGGGACAACUGACGAAAUGCCUAACCACACGUAACAAAGAUUCCAAACCAACCAUACUAUUCUACAGUAAAAAAAAUAGAUGAUUUAACUCCUCCUCUUUUAACCCGCAAAAGCAACAGGGAACGCUUCUGAGCUUUAUCCCUCAUCUAAAUAAAUUAACCUUAGUGGCAAUCUUAUUGUCCAACACUCUCCUAGCGGUAACAUGAGCUGAAGGCAUAGCCUUAAUCCUCCAAAAUAUUUUGAACAUCUUCGUACAAUCCCCCUUAGAAUCCCCUCUUAGAAUCCCAUAAGCCGAUUUCACUGAGAACUCUUGGAACUUACCGUCUUUCCAAACCCACCUAUCAACUUUUUCCAAGAUAGGACACAAGACAUGCACUACCUCUAGAAGUUGUCUAACCUGAUCCUCCUCCCAAUCAAAAAGACUUCUCCACCACGCCCAAAGGCCACUCCUAAACAUUGUUUGUCCAAAACCCACAAUGCUCCAGCAACACAUCUUUAUCGACACAAAGAGAAAAAAGCCUUGGAAACUUAUUCUUCAAGAUAUCAUUACCUACCCACUGAUCCUCCCAUAAUUUGAUACUCUUCCCAAUACCAAGUUCCCACUUAAAUUUGUCAUCGAAAUUACUUUCCCAUUUCUCCAGCUUCCAAAUCUUCUUCAAAUCUUUCCACCAAAAGGAAACAUUAUUGUUUGAGCUGUCCUCUUUCAGCUUUCUCCAGCCUUCAACCUCCUUCCACAAAUCUCCCUCAAAUCCCAACCACCAAAUUCAUUUACCCAACAAAAUCAAUUUAAAAUCCUUAAUAUUAACUACUCCAAACCCGUCGCUUCACUUAAUUUAUUUUCAUUUACUCAAUGCCACGAUCAUAAUUUGGAUACAAUACUGUUCCAAACAUUAAACUCUACUCGUUUACUCAAAACAUUACACAUCUCAACCUUAUAUUGUUGUAUUUUAUCAAUAAUUUAAAUUAUUACCUUAUACAAUUUUUCAAAUUCAUCAACCAAUAAAAAAUAUUGUAUUAUAUUUGGAUCACCUCCUUUAUUAACCAUUCAAAAUUAAAUUAUUUAUUUAAAAAUCUAAUACAAGAAAAUCAUUAAAUAGAAACCAAUUUUAAAAACAAAAAAAUAUAUUGACUAAAUUAGAAAAAAAAUUACAUACUAAAAAUAUUAUUGGUUUCUAAAUUAGUUUCUAUUAUUGAUAAAUAGUUUUUAAAUUGUUAUCUAAUUAGCUACCAAGUUUUUAAGUACCAAUUAUUUAUAUUUUAAAUUUGAUAGUAAACAUCUUGGUAGCUAAUUAAAUAUCAAUUUAAUAAUUAUUUAUCAAUAAUAGAAACUAAUUUAAAAAUCAAUAAUUGUUUUAGUCUCUAAAAUGUUCACUAAUUUAGUCAAUAUAGUAACUAAUUAUUUUUGUCAAAAAAAUUGAUUUCUAUUUAAUAAUUUUUUUUAGUGAUCGUUUAUCGUAUUUAUUUAAAUUUCAUUUCAAUCUUUUUUGAAUGAUCUAUUUAACAGCUGAAACAUUGUAAGUGAUUCUAAUAGUCUCAACCAUAUUCAUAUUAAAUUAUGUUUGUCUCCGAAAGUUAGCCAUUCUUGUAUUCUGUUACCUACACCAACAUGGUGCGUAUUAUUCAAUAAUAAACCAAAUAAUAUAUUUUUAAAAAUUUGGUGCAUAUAAAAGCCGUGUGUUACAAUUUUAUUAGUAUUAUAGACACUCAAGUAUUUUUUUAAAAAAAUUAUUAAUAGAUAUAGACUAUCUAUAUAUUUUUUUUUGUUAAUAUUCAAGGAUGCAGGUAGCUCUAUUAUGUGUCUCAUGCAGUUGUUUUUUUGUGAGGUUUAGGAUAGUGUUAUUUAUCGUAAGCUUUUUUCUGGUUCUGUAUACGGGUUGGGAUACUCUGAAGUAUCUCCUAAUUUAUUUUAAUUUUUUGGUGAUAAAAAAAAUAUGGAUUUUAGUUUAAUUCUUUAUAUUUAAAAAAAAUAUUAAUAGAUAUAAACUAUCUAUAUAUAUUUUUGUUAAUAUAUGAGUUUUAGUCUAAUUCUCUAUAUUUAUUUGUAUUUUAUUUUAUUUUUUUAAUAAUUUUUUUAUUUAAUGACAUAUUAUUGUUAUUAUUUAAAAUAUGAUGAAAUGUCAAGUUUCAUACAUAUGUUAAACAUAAGAUUUUUUUUAAAAAAAAAACUGUUAGUUGUAUGAAUAAAGAAAAUGAAUUCGGUAUGUAUAUUGUUUGAUAGUAAUCUAUGGGAGCCGCAAUAUCAACUAUUAAAAUAUCGUUUUGGUUUGAUUUAAUAUUUCAACAUUUUAAAGUUUUACAUGUAACAUAGUUUAAUCUUUUACUUAUUUUACUGAGUAUUUUCAAGAAAAGAAAUGUAGUUAACAAUAUAUUUUUAGAAAUCAAAUUGAUACAGGUUCAUCUUUCAAGAUCUACUAUAUAUCAAAGAUAAAAUUACUAAAACAAUAUAAAAUAUUCUAUGUUUAUAAUUUUUUAUUAAAAAUAAAUAAAUUUGGAUUUUUUUUUAAAUGUUUACGGUUUACCUGUAAUUUUAUGGAGUGUUUUGUCCAAUUCAAUGAUAAGGAUCUCCUUUAUCCUUUUAUUUAUAGUCACCUUAUUUAUUUCAAACCUUAUCUUCAAAAAUUGAGGACAAAAUUUAGCAGUGCACCUUUAUCUGUACUGUUGAAUUUUUUGGUCAUUGAAGAUAACACAUCAAACUCAACUCCUUCACACAUUGUUGCAUAUGAUUAGAAGCCAAAUUAAUCACGGCUUUGUGUGAAGCUUUUGUUAUUUUCAAUGCGAUCAAACAGAAAAAGACGUGUUCUGAUGGAUUAUUUUAAAUCAACAUUUCGAUAUUUUACAUGGUUAGGGUUCUUAUUAUUUGUAGUCUUGAAUUUUUUUUACGGGGUAGUUCAACCUGUAUACAAAAAUUACCUUACCAAAUUUUUAACAAGAAACAUCUACAAAGAAAUAAAAAAAAAAAAACAUAAAUGAAUCAUCCUCAUGCAUAUCAAAGAAUUCAGAACCCAGUUAGAGUAAGAAAAGAAAGCGCAACUGGACUUUGCAAAAAUUCAAGACCAAACAUUUCUUGCAUCAAAACAAACAUUUCUACCGCAUCUAUCACACCCCUAUUAAAAAUGACGGUCUAUAGUAUAAUUAGAUAGUCUCUUAUGAUCUUAUUUAUUAGGUGUUUAUGUUAGGUUUCAAUACGAUUUUAUUUAUCCAAUUUGAAUAAAUACUAAACCUAUUGCUAUUAAUUUACCAAAUGGUCAUCAAACUAUUGCUUCUCAAACUAGAACUAUGAAAUGCAUAGUUCCAAAAGUCGUGUUCAUGUAGAAACAACAACUCCUUCCAUUUUUUUCCACACCCGUUUAGGAAGGUUUUGGAUUUAUAUGAAAAAGUUUCAAAUAUAUAGCUUUUUUAUUUUGUCUCCAUGGAGAGAAAGUGAGACUCACCACAGCAACGAAUUCUGAAACGUAGUUAUCAAAAAGUUUUCAAUGAACUCAAAACAGGAGCACAAGGUUGCAAGAUUUAGGGUACAUUCAAGAAAGAUUUCCACAUUAUUUAUUAAAAAAAUUAUUGAUUUUUUUAAAAGUUCUUUAAUUUAUUAAAAAGUUUAUUUUAAAUCAUGUUGUAGAUCUCACAUCGACUAAAAAUUAGGACAUUUCAUUAUAUAUAAGUGGGUGUAACCUCACCUCAUAAGCCGAUUUUAAGAGGUUGAGUUAAGCUUAAAGUCCACUUCGUAAUAUGGUAUCAGAGUCAUUUUGAGCUUAUCCUAACUAGUGUUUGUUGGGCUUAUCAGGGCACCCGCUAUCGGACCGUUAUCGGAUCACCCAUAAUAUGUUAUCCCGCACACGACCUGUCACUCUCGGCGUGAGAGAGGUGUGUUGAAGAUUUCACAUCGAUUAGAGAUUAGGAUAUUUCAUUGUAUAUAAAUGGAUGCAAACCUCACCAUGAGCCGGUUUUAUGGAGUUGAGUUAGACUAAAAAUCCACUUCGUAAUAAAUCGAGUUCUCCAUAAGCUACCGAAUUUGGAUUUUGAAUAUAAAAAAAAAUAAUUAGAAUAAAAGGUUUACUUUGACAGAAACUAAUUAUUAAUUAAUGAGUAUAUACUUCAUAUAUUUGUCAUGAGAAGAAACUUAUAUACUAAGCACCUAAUUACUUGACUGAAGGCUAAAGCUAGAAGAUUCAACACAAGACCCCUUAACCUUCCCACUUUUAUAAUUUAAUUAUUAAUAUCAGUUGCAUUCUUAAGCUUGGAGAAGACAACCAAUAUCAAGCUAUUAAGGUCUCUUUUAUGUUCAUAUAUAAUACAAAUUCUGAUUUUGAAAAGUUCUCCAUGUGAGCAAGUGGAGAAGUGUGGCCAAGUUUCUAAGAAGUCUUUAUAAGACUUUCACAUCAUCACUUACAAUAAUCAAAUAACGUAAUAAUUCUCUAUUAUCCAAACCCUUUUCAAUAAAAAAUAUUUAUUUAUCAAUUUAUAUUAAUUAUAAUAUCAUUUUAUAUUAAUUAUAAAAAAAUAUAUUCUUUUAUUACGUGACUACAAUUAAACAAAUUAACAAGAUAAAUAAAAAUCAUGUCAAAAAAUUAAACGAAAAGAAACUAAUUUCUAAAUUUAUAAAUUUUGAAUAUUCAAUAAAUAAUUAAUAGAAAUAAUUAAAAAUAUUCAAAUUUCUAAAAUACUUAAAAGAUAAUUACAUUUAUUUGAAAAAUUCUUCCUCUCUCAGUACACGUGUUUUGAAAAAAAUCCAACUUAUUUUAGUUUCUUGUAUAAACUUAUCUGGCAUCUUUGGUUGAGUUCACGACAUCCAUUAACUUUUCACAUCAAACAAAAAGAUUUAUGGAAAAGAUUUUUUGAGACCAUAUGCACUGAAAACAUGAACUUCACAUCAUAUUAUAAUAAUACAAUAAUAUUUUAAAUUAAAAAAUAAAAUAAAAUAUAAUUAGAAUACUAUUUUAUUAAUUUAUGAAGUAUAUAUAUUUAAUAUUAUUUGUUGUACCACCCAUAAUCUAUUUAAGAAUACCACUAGCAUUGGACUUGACAAAGCUCAAAUGGAUUUUGUUCUACACUACUUGAAUACCACUACCAUUGCACUUCUUUCUCUAAUCAUCUUCUGUUUAUUCUUCUAUAAUCCCUUCAAAAAAUUUCAAUCCAAAGAGGCUCCCACAGUUGCAGGAGCAUGGCCAAUACUUGGUCACCUUCCACUGUUGAGUGGUUCAAAGACACCCCAUAGAACUUUGGGUGCUUUGGCUGACAAAUAUGGACCCAUUUUCACCAUCAAAAUUGGUUCCAAAAAGGCUCUGAUAAUCAACAACUGGGAAAUAGCAAAGGAAUGCUUCACCACAAUCGACAUGGUUGUUUCUUCUCGCCCCAAGCUUCUCGCCUCUGAACUCAUGGGCUACAACCAUGCCAUGUUUGGCUUUGCACCCUAUGGUCCCUAUUGGCGCGAGCUACGAAAGAUUACAACGUUAGAAAUCCUUACUACUCGUCGAGUGGAACAGCUGCAGCAUGUUCGUGUCUCGGAACUUCAAAACUGGAUCAAACAGUUGUAUAAUGUUUGGUGCAGCCAAAAGAGUGAAUCUGGCUAUGCCUUGGUGGAGCUGAAGCAAUGGUUUUCUCACCUCUCAUUCAACAUGGUUCUUCAAAUGGUCGUUGGGAAGAGAUAUUUUGGUGGUGAAAACUUGGAAGAUGAGAAGGCACAGAGAUGUGUGAGGGCUAUGAGGGAGUUCAUGCGUCUGUUUGGGGUGUUCACAGUGGGAGAGUUUGUUCCAUGGUUGAGAUGGUUUGAUUUUGGAGGCCAUGAGAAGGCAAUGAAAGCAACUGCAAAAGAGUUGGAUAGUAUUAUAGGUGAGGAGUUAGAGGAACAUAGAAAAAGGAAGGGUUUGGGUGAGAAGGUUGAUGAAGCUAAAGAUUUCAUGGAUGUAAUGAUUUCAUUGCUUGAUGGAACAACUAUUGAAGGGAUCGAUGCAGAUACCAUGAUCAAAUCCACCGUGCUGGUACGUAUGUUUAAUUCACACGUUAUAAUGCUUUGGAAAUGUGAAACUUCAACAAAACUAAACAUAUAAAUACAACAUAAUUCUUCAUUAAAUUUGGUAUUUAGUGUUGAAACACUUGUUGUAGGGGAGAUGAGGAUUAUGGGUAGAAUUAUAUAUAUGGAUGAGGUCUAUGACUGUCUUAUUAUGUUCUAUAGACUCUAUAGGGAGUGGGAACCUUUUGAAUUUUUAUUGGUAUUCUUAAUGUAUUCCUUUUAAUUCAUUUUAUUCAUCAUUGAUAAAAUAAAUUAAAUUUGAAAUAUUUCCUCAGAAACUUACCUUAAAAACAUUACAAAACCCUAAACCAACUUCUCUUACAGAAGUACAGUUUUUUUUUUUUUGGCACAAGAAGUCUAAUUUCUUUCACUUAUUCUUUACACAAGUGUGUUUUAUCGUCUUUACCGUUUAUAUGGGGUUCAUUUGAUAGACAUGAGUGUUUUUUUGGGAGAGUGAGGGAUAUAGUGAUGUUGUGAUUGGGAGAGAAAGGGACAUUUGUGGUGUUGCGUGAAUGAAAAUCCAUGGACCACUUACAAUUUUUUUUUCUGUUUUUCUACUUUGAUUUGGUUUUUGUGAAAAAUAAUGAAAUUUUGAAAAAAAAAACUUGUAAGUUAUACAUCAUUAGUUUAGAAAUUGUUUACUUUUUCGAUGGUGGAAAUUUAUAAUGAUUAUAGAACUCAAGCAAGUAAUCCCUAGAAAAUAAAUUAAAUUAAAUAACUUUUUCUUGUAAAUUAAAAUUAAUUUUAACCUAAAUUGUUUUUAAUAAUACGUUUUCUGAACCUGAUCUUAAUUUUCUUCACUUAAAUAUUUCUCUUGGGUCACUUAUUUGAUUUGCAGGCAGUGAUAUCAGGAGGAACUGACACAACUAAUACAGUUCUUACGUGGGCAUUAUCUUUGAUUUUAAGAAAUCCUUCUGUGCUAGAAAAAGUAAAAGAGGAACUAGACAUUCAUAUUGGAAAAGAAAAAUGCGUAAGUGAGUCCGAUAUAAGUAAGUUAAUAUAUGUUCAAGCUAUAGUCAAAGAAACUUUAAGAUUGUAUCCUCCUGCUCCUACUUCGGGACCUCGUGAAUUCACAGAGAAUUGCACUUUAAGAGGUUAUAAUAUAAAAAAGGGAACCCGACUAAUCAUAAAUCUUUGGAAGAUUCAUACAGAUAGUAAUGUUUGGGAAGAUCCUUUAGAGUUCAAACCAGAAAGGUUUCUUACAACUCAUAAAGAUACUGACAUCAAAGGCCAUCAUUUCGAGUUAUUACCAUUUGGGGGUGGUAGAAGAAUUUGUCCAGGAGUAUCCUUUGGCCUUCAAAUGGUGCAUUUCAUUCUUGCUAGUCUUUUGCAUUCUUUUGAAAUUAUAAGUUCAUCACCAAAUCCUAUUGAUAUGACUGAAAUCUUUGGAUUAACCAACACCAAAGCCACUCCACUUAAUAUUCUUAUUAAACCACGCCUAUCUCUUAAUUGUUAUGAAAACAACUAAGCCUUUUAUUAGCUACGUGAUUACAUUGUAUUUUUGUUUCUACUAAAUAAUUCAAAGUACUUGCUAUGUUUGUAGUUCCUCAAAUUGUAUAUUUGUAUUUUCGUUUAUCAGUACUUGUAACAUUUGUAGUUUACUUUUGUAAAUUUUGUAACUCUUUUAAAUAUAUAAUUGAUAAAAGUAUAAUUACAGCGUAUAUUCUCACCAUUUUAACUUUUUUAUUCUUUAUUGAUUUUUUUUUUCUUAUCAUUCUUAUUGUUGCGUUGUUAAAAUUUAAGUUUGUAUUUUUGACUAUUUUUGUUUAGUUCAUUUUCAUAUACUAGAAAUAACGAUGAUAAUUUGCUUAUUUUCUUUUUUUCAAACAUCAAUGUUUAUCGACUCAAGAAAUCAUAUAUACCAAAUUUAUAUUAUUUUAGUUUUGAACAAAUCAACUUACUAUCUACUUAAUUUUUCAAUUUUUUCAACCAAUCAAAUUAGUUCAUCUUCAACUUAAUUAAUCCUACCUCGUUAUCAAUAUCUAAAAAUAAGAAUUUUCAUCAUCUUAAUAUCAAAUAAAAUUUGUUAACAUUUUUAGUUUUUUUUUUAAAGUUAUUGAGCUUUGUUUGUUUGGCCCAACUUUCUUUUUCUGUUUCAACUAGAUCUUAGUCUUUUUCUUAUAUAUACACAAUGUAUUUUACUCUCUAAUACACACAUAAAUAAGAAUUUCUUUUGUAUUUUUUUUCUCUGCGUUUCUCUCUUUUAUGCUUAAGUCGUUGUCUUCUUUUCAUUUGCAAUUAGGGUUCAUUAGAACCUCCCUCUCUCCAUUGCGAUUACGUGCGCUCCAUUUGAUGCACCACAUCAAACAAGGAAUAUUCAUCUUCAUUAACUGUAAUAUGGUAUCAGAGCUCUUCAUUCGAAGAGCUCUGUUGCGCUUCUCUAUGAUCUUUAUUUCCUCCUUUGUUGUUCUUGGUUAUCUUUUCUAUUAUCUUUCAAAAUCUUGAUUGGGUUUCAAAAUCUCUUAGACAAUGUCUAAUGAAAACCAUAGUCUUCAUAGUCUUAAUAGUAGUCACACUAUUACAUGCAAUUUUUGUGGUAAAUACGGUCAUACUGAGGUUGUUUGUUUCGCAAAGUGGGUUUUCCUUCAGGUAAUGUUAAAACCUCAAAGUUUUAUUCUACUAGAAAAGUCUACACUUUUUGUAAUCGUCUAAAAAAGUAUGGGUUUUCUCCUGGCUACAAAUUCACCAAUUGGACAUCCCAAGGCAAUAGUACAAUUACUACUGAUACUUUUUUUGAACUUUUUCCUAAAGAACAGGAUGUAAAGGGAAUUCAACUUACAUCACAAUAGUGCCAAUUAGAUAUCAAUUUAAUAACUAUUUAUCAUUAAUAGAAACUAAUUUAGAAAUUAAUAAUUUUUUAAUAUCUAAAAUGGUCUCUAAUUUAAUCAAUAUAGUAACUAAUUAUUUUUUGUCUCUAAAAUUAGUUUUUAAUUAAAUAUUAUUUUUAGUGCUUGUUUAUCGCAUUUAAAUUUCAUUUCAAUUACUCAAUAAUAAACCAAAUAAUAUAUUUUUAUAAAUUUGGUGAAUAUAAAAGUUAUGUGUUACAAUUUUAUUGGUAUAAUAGACUUUUAUCUAGUCUUUUCUUAAAACUUUUUAUUAAUAGAUAUAUACUAUAUAUGUAUAUUUUUGUUAAUAUAUGGAUUUUAAUCUAAUUUCCUAUAUUUACUUGUAUUUCAUUUUUUUUAAUAAUAUAUUUUUUAUGUAGUGAUAGAUUAUUGUUAUUAUUUGAAGUGUGAUGUGAAGUUCCAAUGUCUGAUAUGAGAUUUUUUUAUUUUUUAUUUUAAUUUUUGUGUUAGUUUAAUGAAUAAAAAAAAUGAAUUCGGUAUGUAUAUUGUUUGAUAGUAAUAUAUGGUAGCCGCAAUAUUAACUAUUAAAAUAUCAUUUUGGUUUGAUUUAAUAUUUCAACAUUAUUAAAGUUUUACAUGUAAGAUAUUUUAAUCAUUUACUUAUUUUAAUGAUAUUUUCAAGAAAAAAAAUGUAGUUGACAAUAUAUUUUUAGAAAUCAAAUUGAUACAGGUUCAUCUUUCAAGAUCUACUAUAUAUCAAAGAUAAAAUUACUAAAAGAAUAUAAAAUAUCCUAUGUUUAUAAUUCUUUUAUUAAAAAUAAAUAAAUUUGGAUUUUUUUUAAAUGUUUACGGUUUACCUGUGAUUUUAUAGAGUAUUUUGUCCAAUUCAAUGAUAAGGAUUUUUUUUUAUGAUCAAAGAAUAAAUAAAAUAAAAUGAGACAUUUCAUGAGUGUUUCAACCCUUAUACAAAACAUUCAAAACAGGUUUCCUAGCAUCCUAUCAACCAAAGAUCCAACAAACAUUACACUACAAACCAAAACAAUAAACUAGUUCAAGAUAUAGAAACCUAACAAAUACAGUUACAUCAAUCCACCAAAGAGAUCACACCAACUAAACAAGAUCUUUGUCAGCAGGCUGAAGUGCCAUAACCAAGUGUCGAACUCAAUAAAACCGAUCCUACAAGAAGAAAAUGUAAACCAAAAUUAGUUCACCAAAGAGAUCACACCCUUAGUAUAGGACACAACAUCCAACACCUAAACAAUAACUUUGCAAUAGACUGAAGUACGCCAAAUAAUCAAUUGUCAACAUCAACAAACCGAUCCUACGAGGAGGAUAAAUAAACUAGAGAUAUCCUGCAAAAAGCACACAACAACUUCCCAAACUGGAUAGAUCAGUAACCAAAAACACCACAUAUCAAUCUCCCAAAGCUCAAACACCAUAAAGAUUCAAACACCAAACCGAGAAGCAUACAUCAAAAACACUUCCUUUACCGCAGCAAUCCAGGAACAAAAUCAUCAACCUGACCCUGCCAAGUAGAAAAGACCAAAAAAACCUGCACAAACACAUUAUAUCUUUCAAACCUGCAGGAAGAAAUCAUAAGCCAAAUAGACAUGCACACAACACAAACACCUCCCAAACGCAACUCAAGGACACACACCCCAAUCCAACCUUACCAGAUGGGAGGACCUGAUGAAACCUGCAGAAAACACACCACUACUUCCGAUUCCGAUUCCGAUUCCGAUUCCGAUUCCGAUUCCGUUUAUGAGGAAAAGCAUUUAUCUAAAUUGAGGACAAAAUUUAACAUUGCACUUUAAUCUGUAUUGUUUAAUUUUUUGGUCAUAGAAGAUAACAAAUCAAACUCACCUCCUUCACACAUCGUUGCAUAUGACUAGAAGCCAAAUUAAUCACGGCUUUGGGUGAAGCUUUUAUUAUUUUCAAUGCGAUCAAACAGAAAAAGACGUGUUCCAAUGGAUUAUUUUAAAUAAACAUUUCGAUAUUUUACCAAAUCUAGAUGGUUAGUUUUCUUGUUAUUUGUAGACGGUUUAUCUUAGUGUUUUUAUUUGUAGAUAUGGUUAGAUGCUUUGUAAUUCAUCUUUAAAUCUUAUCAAUAACUUUUUUUUUUUAGCUUUUAUUUAUGAAAAAAAUCUUCGAUUUUCUUUUGCUUUUGUGACAUAGUAAAACAAAAACAUCUAUAAAUGUGUGAAACCAUGGGCAUAGUUCCAAAAGUGGUGUUCUUGAACAAACAGCAACUCCUUCCAUUUUUUUCCACACCCGUUCAGGACAGUUUUGGAUUUACGUGAAAAAGUUUUAAAUAUAUUUUUAUUUUGUCUCCAUAGAGUUAGAAAGUGAGACUCACGACAGCAACAAAUUCUGAAACGUAGUUUUCAACGAACUCAUAACAGGACCACUAGGUUGCGUGAUUUAGGGUACAUUCAAGAAACAUUUCCACAUCAAUUAUUUAAAAACUUAUUAAUUUUUCUAAUUAAGCUCUUUAAUUUAUUAAAAACUUUAUAUUAAUCAGUUCCUCGUAUAAGCUACGAUUUUUUUUUUCUAUUGUUAUGCAUAAAGAUUGGAUCACUCGUGAAUGAUAAAAAAAUUAAAAAAUUCAGAUUUUGAAUAUAAAAAAAAGUUAAUUAGAAUAAAAUAUUUUACUUUGACAGAAACUAAUUAUUAAUUAAUGAGUAUAUAUUUGUUAAUGAAGUAGUUUACUUUAUAUAUUUGUUAAUUACUUGAAGUAAGAAAAACAGUCUUUAUUAUAUAAAAAAAAGUUAAACUUCUUUUAAAAGUGAGAGAUAAGUUUGAGUGAUUUGAAAUGUUUUAUUAAGUAAACUCCACAUAACCCAAUAACCUAUGAAUUUGAAGUAAUUAAAAAUAUUCACGUUUAGUUCUAAUAAUUGUUUUUAUCAUGAGAAGAAACUUGAUAUACUAAGCACCUAAUUACUUGAGUGAAGGCUAACUCUAGAAGAUUCAACACAAGACCCCUUAACCUUCCCACAUUUAUAAUUCAAUUAAUAUCAAGCUAUUAAGGUUAAUCUCUUUUAUGUUCAUAUAUAAUACAAAUUCUUUUUUCAAUAUUACUUCAGGAAUAUUCAACUAUCUUGCAUACCCUUUUUUCUGUAUAGUGGAAAUUUUUGACUGUUUUUUUUCUGACAUUGAAAGAUUCUACAUGUGAUCAGCAAGUGGAGAAGUGUUACCAAGUUGCUCAAAAGCCUUUAUAAGACUUCCACAUCACUUACAAUAACCAACCAAGAUAUAGGUAAUAUUUCCUUAUUAUUUAUCGAUUUACAUUAAUUAUAAUACAAUUUUAUAUUAAUUAUAAAAAAAUUAUAUUUUUUAAUAAGUGAAUAAAAUUAAACAAAGUGACAAGAUAAAUCUAAUCAUGUCAAAAAAUUAAACGAAAAAGAAAACCAAGUUAAAAAUUUAUAAAUUUUGAAUAUUCAAUAAAAAAUUAAAAGUAUUGAAAUUUAUAACAUACUUAAAGAUAAUUACAUUUAUUUCAAAAGUUCUUCUUCUCAGUACACGUGUUUGAAAAAAAUCUUUGACUUCUCCGACAUCUUUGACUGAGUUCAUCACAUAUCCAUUAGACAGAGUUCUUAUGCCACAAGAGUGGAUGAAUUAAUCUUUAUUAAAUAUUUUAAUAAUUUUAUUAGUUAAUCUAAUAAUAAAAUUAGUAAUUUAAUUUACUUUGAAUUUUUUUAACAUAUAUUUAAAUUACUAAUAUCAAUUAAUAAUAUUAACCACACGUUUAAAUCAACAAUUUCACUUUAUAAUUUAUUGUACAAAAAAUUUUAGCUAACAUUUUAAAUUUCAUAUUAAAACUAUUAUAAAGUAUGAUUUAAAUUAGUAAUCAUUCACAAAUUUACAAUUCACUGCAUAAUAAUUUAAAGUUUUAACAUUUUAAAACUUAAGCUUAUAUGUUUUAAAUAUUUUUAUGUUAGCAUAAUUUGAAAAUAAUUAUUCAUUAGUAUUAUUGCUGAGAGUUACAUUUUACAAUACUUUUAAUAACAUUAAAAAGUUAAAAAUAGAUAUAAUUAAUCAUCUUUUGGUCAACGUCCAAAUUUGAGUUAAGAGAAUAUUAUAAAAUGAUUUUUCGAACAAGUGUAUUAAGUCUAAAAUAUUAUAAAAUGAUUUUUCGAACAAGUUAAAGGAGUAAUGUAAGUUAAACAGAUAAUUAAGUCUAAAACAUUAGAAAUAUUAAAUUUAUAAAAUAGCUAAAGAUAAUUAUUUUUAAUUUAUAAUUAUAUAAUUACUUAGUCUUUUGAAAAGUUGUCUUUCCCUCUGAAGCAAUGAAUGAUCUAUUUAACAACUCCUACCUCCAAACAGUAGAUACACUAAACUCCUUCAAAUGGAUUUUGUUCUAAGUUACCUGAAUACCACCACCAUUGGACUUGUUUCUCUUAUCAUCUUCUCUUUCUUUUUCUAUGGUCUCUUCAAAUUUUCUCAAGGGAAAGAAGCUCCCACAGUUGCAGGUGCAUGGCCAAUACUUGGUCACCUUCCAUUGUUGAGUGGUUCAAAGUCACCCCACAGAACUCUGGGUGCUUUGGCUGAAAAAUAUGGACCCAUUUUCACCAUCCAACUUGGUUCCAAAAAGGCUCUGAUAAUCAACAACUGGGAAAUAGCAAAGGAAUGCUUCACCACAAUCGACAUGGUUGUUUCUUCUCGCCCCAAGAUUCUCGCCUCUGAACUCAUGGGCUACAACCAUGCCAUGUUUGGCUUUGCACCUUAUGGUCCCUAUUGGCGCGAGAUACGAAAGAUUACAACGUUAGAAAUCCUUACUACUCGUCGAGUGGAACAGCUGCAGCAUGUUCGUGUCUCAGAACUUCAAAACUGGAUCAAACAGUUGUAUAAUGUUUGGUGCAGCCAGAAGAGUGAGUCUGGCUAUGCCUUGGUGGAGCUGAAGCAAUGGUUUUCUCACCUCGCAUUCAACAUGGUUCUUCGAAUGGUCGUUGGGAAGAGAUAUUUUGGUGGUGAAAACUUGCAAGAUGAGAAGGCACAGAGAUGUGUGAGGGCUGUGGAGGAGUUCAUGCGUCUGUUUGGGGUGUUCACAGUGGGAGAGUUUGUUCCAUGGUUGAGAUGGUUUGAUUUUGGAGGCCAUGAGAAGGCAAUGAAAGCAACUGC
rnacentral:lncRNA from 1 species